AUAAGCCCAAACCAGACAGUUUAGGAAGGUCAUUCUACUUAGGAGGAGAGUAAAUAACAUUUUACAAAUGACUUUGGAGUUGCCUGGGUUUUUUUCUUUUUAAAAGUCUCCCUUUGCUAGUGGAAGUCACUGGGGAAUGGAUGAUAUGGCAAGUGCUUGCUGUUCUUGGAGUUCGGGUUCACUACUCCCCUUCUCAUGCAAGGGACUGAGAUGGUACUGGUGGGCUCAGGAGCCAGGUUCUAGAUUACUGCUGUCUUAGCUGGCAACUAGGGCAGUCGAAACCAAAAGCCUCAGAAGUCCUGUUCAAUGAGGGUAAAUAUUUGAAUGGAUUGAACAGAUGAGUGUGUGUAUAUUUAGAAACUCACACCCAGUAGAGAAAGAACCUCUGGAGACGGGAUCUCUCUAUAUUGCCCAGGCUGGUCUUGAACUCCUGGCCUCAAGCAAUCCUCCCACCCCGACCUCCCAGAGCACUGGGAUUACAGCCCCUGGCAACCACCAUUCUAUUUUCUGUCUUUAUGAAUUUGGCUACUCUUAAAACUGCAUGUAAGUGGAAUUAUAUAGUAUUUGUCUUUUUGGGACUGGUUUAUUCCACUUAGCAUAAUGUCCUCAAGGUUCAUCUGUGUUGUAGCAUGUGUCAGAAUUUCCUCCCUCUCAAGGAUGAAUAGUAUUCCACUGUAUUUUGUUCAUCGCUUCAUCCAUUGAUGAACCCUUGGGGUGAGGACUUUUACAUGGCUUGCUCACCAGUGACUAGAACAGAUCCUGGCUUUAAAAGUAACUCAACAGGUAAUAGUUGAAUGAAUUUUAGUUAUGUUGAACGGGAGGUGAUAGUGGGACACCCAAGUGGGCUGUCCAACAGGUAUUCCUGGAUGUCUCAGGACUAAAGGUUGGAAUCGCCUUCAUGGGUAGGGGGUAAAGACAGUGGUGUGAAGGUGCUCCCAGGGACGGGGUUGAACAAUAGGAGCAGGGGCCUGGGGCUAGCACAGGUGGGACCAGAGUCAUGACAGAUGCAGGAAAGGUGGUCUCAGGACAGUGGUACAGGCCAGAACACGAGAUCAGGGGAAAUGUACCCAGUACAGCCAGAGCCAUUAAGUGCUAGGCAGUAGGCAAGGCACUAGGACUAGCAACACGUGUGAGGCAGACGUAAAGAUUCAUCAGCACAAAUCAUUCUAAGGCCUCGUGGAAGUGGAAGUCUUGAACUUGAGUGUGGACUUGAAAUACAGUUGGACUCUGCACUAUGAAGAGGAGAGAGAAGGACACCACAAGUGAGAAAGCGUUGAGAAAAGGAGCUUGGUGGAAAGAAUGGGAGGGUACAGGGCACAAAAGGAGACCAGAAUGAUGAGGCAGUGGACUUGCGGGGGACGUGGGAGGCAGGGUCGGCACUUCUUUUAUUUCUUUCCCUUUAAAGUUGAUCAAGAGUUGGCAGUUGGGAAGCUUAAGUAAUCUACAUCUAAACACUACAUCUAAUGUAACUCCUACUUAAAAUUACUGGACACCAAAAAAUCCCCAGGCAAGCUUAUUGCCCUGUAUGUAUGGUAGAAUAUUGUAACAUGGACAGUGGUAGUUGUAAAGACCUGGUUGCAUGUGACAGAUGCACUUGCUCAAAUAUGAGUGUGGCGAUUUCUCAGUCACAUGCUGAAAAAUCAAGAGCCUCUAGUCAAUUUAACCAGUAUUCACUGGGCUGCAGCUGAGAGCCCUGCUUAACACUAGAUGCUGGGAUAGAAAGACAAAAAGGUGAGAUUAAGAAGUAAGAGUUAAGCCUGGGCUGUACCUAGACUUACCUGAGUUUUAGAGACCUUCCUUUCCACAGAUAUUGGGCUGAAAACUGAGAAAGUGGAUGCCUCGUCUGCUCCCAUCUUACUCUCUGCAGCUUCCUACACAACUGCUGGGCUCCCAAUGCUCUGCUCUGGGGCCAGGCAAAAGUCUGUACUCUCAUGCAUACGCACUUCUGAAAAAGCGGCUUGGUAACUUCUUAGGUACACCCACAAGGUUGGCCCCAGAUCUCAAGGAAAUCCUCAGAAAUGGUUUUGAAAGAUAAUAUCCAGCUAACUCCCCCAAAUUCAGGAUCCCUAGAAGCUAUUUAUCUUCUAGGGAUUGCCUAGAGUAUUCCUACAGGAUGUAAAUGAAGGAUGCAAGCACGUGGAGCAUGAGUAUUCUAUACAGGGAACCAGUCGGAUGCCACCCACCAGUGCCAGAACGAAGGCAGAGAGCAUGGGGUUGGAGAGGCCAGAGACCCUACGUGCUUCUGAAUAAUGGGGUGUCCCUGCCAGAGCUAGGAAGCGUGAGGUGUCACCCUACCAGCCUACAGCUCUGAGUGCUAAAAGGGAAUCCGGGACCCUGAAGGAAGCUUUGAGUCUCUGGGCUUGUGCCUGUCAGAUCUCUGACACCACUAUUUACCUAUGUUCCACAAUAGGUUACCUUAGCAUUCAGCUUAGUCUGGUCUUAGCAUCUAAGAGACAAGGUUUCAGGGAGCCUUAUGUAUAAGCAAUAAUGUAGUGAUGAUGCUAACUUUAUUAAGUGUUUAGUGUGUCCUAGGUGCUGUUCUGUUUUCUAUGUAUUCACUCAUUUAAACCUCACAGUAACUCUGAGAUAACUGUUAUAUUUGACAGAUGAGGAAACUGAGUCACAGAGAGCUAUAAUAUCUUUCCUGAGAUCACUCAGCUAGUAAUAAGCAGAGACAGAAAUUGCACCGGUCCUGCUCCAGAGUCUGCAUUCUUAGGGAAACAGCUCCAGUGGGAUGUGUAGGAGCCACCAGAGGCCAGAGCAGAGAGGUCAGCUGCUGACCAAUCACACUCCUAGAUCCAGUUUCUCCCUGUCAGAGCCAGCUGCCCCUGCUGCUUCAGAGAGGGGGCUGUGGCCCUGUUGUUUUACCUAGGUUUGCCAGGAGGAUUAUUAGCCUCUUCCUCGUGUCAAAACAAGCCAAGCAGGAAAAAAAACCAACAAGCAACUCAUGACUUGCAGCAGAAAAAACCCUGCGGUCUCUCCAGCAGGAGGGGAGACCUCAGCUGCAGGGGCCCGAAGGUCCCAGGUUACAACCUGGUCUUAGGCAUAUAUUGCUGAGAAGGGCCUUGAGGUCCCCUCGUUUCAGUCAGGAUGCUGAGGCCUGGCUCACCAUAAUGCCCAGUCUCCACAGCAGCCUGCCUUCUCUGCUCUCCUGCUACACCCCGGGAAAUUUAAUAGUGUCUCCCAGUCUGCUCAUGGGAAGCCCGGAGGCCUACAGUCUUUCCCCUAGUUCUGCUGUGAGCUAGCUCUGGGACCCUGGGCUACUCCAGUUUCC
rnacentral:lncRNA from 1 species